CCUACGAGAGGCAGCAGUGGGGAAUAUUGCACAAUGGGCGAAAGCCUGAUGCAGCAACGCCGCGUGAGCGAUGAAGGCCUUCGGGUCGUAAAGCUCUGUCCUCAAGGAAGAUAAUGACGGUACUUGAGGAGGAAGCCCCGGCGAACUACGUGCCAGCAGCCGCGGUAAUACGUAGGGGGCUAGCGUUAUCCGGAAUUACUGGGCGUAAAGGGGGCGUAGGUGGUUUCUUAAGUCAGAGGGGAAAGGCUACGGCUCAACCGUAUGAAGCUGUUGAAAAUGGGAAACUUGAGGUCAGGAGAGGAUAGUGGAAUUCCUAGUGGAGCGGUGAAAUGCGUAGAUAUUAGGAGGAACACCAGUUGCGAAGGCGGCUCUCUGGACUGUAACUGACACUGAGGCACGAAAGCGUGGGGAGCAAACAGGAUUAGAUACCCGUGUAGUC
rnacentral:rRNA from 1 species